CUGUUGGUGGCAGUAGGAAAUGUGAAACCACAGCAGAAGACAACAAAAAUAAAAUCGAUUGCUACACUGUAGCAGACUGGACUGUAAACAGAUGAUCUCAAGCUAGCGUCGGUGUUUAUGUGAAUAAAAAAGACCUCCACCCCCUCCUAUCCCUCCUGGUGACCCCUGUGAUGUCGUCCCCGUGCUGUGGCUUCCUGGCGCAGUACACCCACCAUCACCUGGUCGCCUUCCUCCUCACCUUCUUUAGCUAUGUCCUCCUGCACGCCUCAAGGAAGACCUUCAGUAAUGUGAAAGUGAGCAUCUCAGCCCAGUGGACUCCCUCUGUGCAGAAUGCCAGCUCUCCUGCAUUCUCACCCGGGGAGGUACGUACUCAGGAGGAUGUGGAUUCACUUCCUUGAAUUAUCCCCCCUUUUCACCUCCCCUAAAUUAUGGCCUCUGAUAUAGAGAUAUAAUGACUAAAUUCCUGGAU